rnacentral:rRNA from 1 species
UACAGAGGCCUCGAGCGUUAAUCGGAAUCACUGGGCUUAAAGGGUGCGUAGGCGGGUCCGUAAGUGCCUUGUGAAAUCCCCUGGCUUAACCAGGGAACGGCUGGGCAGACUGCGGGCCUUGAGGUCGGUAGGGGUCGCUGGAACGGUUGGUGGAGCGGUGAAAUGCGUAGAUAUCAACCGGAACGCCAAAGGUGAAGACAGGCGACUGGGCCGACUCUGACGCUGAGGCACGAAAGCGUGGGGAGCAAAC